rnacentral:tRNA from 1 species
GAGAGAGGCAAGACCGCAACGAAWACUGCUAAUUUUYGCCACCCCAGUUAAACCCGGGGCUCACUCG